rnacentral:piRNA from 1 species
UCUUUGUUAAGAUGGUUUCC